UAAGGAAUAUUGGUCAAUGGACGCAAGUCUGAACCAGCCAUGCCGCGUGAAGGAUGAAGGUCCUCUGGAUUGUAAACUUCUUUUAUCUGGGACGAAAACGGGAUUUUUAUCUCAAUUGACGGUACCAGAGGAAUAAGCACCGGCUAACUCCGUGCCAGCAGCCGCGGUAAUACGGAGGGUGCGAGCGUUAUCCGGAUUUACUGGGUUUAAAGGGUGCGUAGGUGGGCUUAUAAUUCAGUGGUGAAAUCUCCGAGCUUAACUUGUAAACUGCCGUUGAUACUAUAGGUCUUGAAUUAUCUGGAGGUCAGCGGAAUAUGUCAUGUUGCGGUGAAAUGCUUAGAUAUGGCAUAGAACACCAAUUGCGAAGGCAGCUUACUACAUAUAAAUUGACGCUGAGGCACGAAAGCGUGGGGAUCAAACA
rnacentral:rRNA from 1 species